rnacentral:rRNA from 1 species
GACGAACGCUGGCGGCGUGCUUAACACAUGCAAGUCGAACGGAAAGGCCCUGCUUUUGUGGGGUGCUCGAGUGGCGAACGGGUGAGUAACACGUGAGUAACCUGCCCUUGACUUUGGGAUAACUUCAGGAAACUGGGGCUAAUACCGGAUAGGAGCUCCUGCUGCAUGGUGGGGGUUGGAAAGUUUCGGCGGUUGGGGAUGGACUCGCGGCUUAUCAGCUUGUUGGUGGGGUAGUGGCUUACCAAGGCUUUGACGGGUAGCCAGCCUGAGAGGGUGACCGGCCACAUUGGGACUGAGAUACGGCCCAGACUCCUACGGGAGGCAGCAGUGGGGAAUAUUGCACAAUGGGCGGAAGCCUGAUGCAGCAACGCCGCGUGCGGGAUGACGGCCUUCGGGUUGUAAACCGCUUUCGCCUGUGACGAAGCGUGAGUGACGGUAAUGGGUAAAGAAGCACCGGCUAACUAUGUG